rnacentral:lncRNA from 1 species
GCGUUUUAUUACAAUGAUCCAACGUUUGCGGCGCUCCGGAUCUUGGGGAAUCCUGUAGAUGGCUCAUUCCUUAUGUCGUCCGUGUCUGUUCUGCAUCCUGGGGCACAACAGGAAUCUACCAUAUUUCCUGUCUGAUUGAGUUUUCUGACAAUAACAAAUAGUCCAGCUGCCAGCUUCUACCUGCCAAUAUGGCAUGACGUCGUUUCGAUUUGAACUGUUGCAUGCCGGGAGAAGUGACGUCAACUCCCGGAGCUCUAUAGUGUUAGCGUCCAACUCACUAACACUAGCACAUUAUGCUAGUAAAGUUAGCACCCAGAUUAAUGUGGAUUUAGCCGAUUUUUGUGGAAUAAAACGUGAUCUGGGAUUUCUGAUCAACGCCUUUUUUUUACACCAGAUGAUAAUCUUCCACUGAUUGUAGCAGCAGAGAGCCUGUGUGUUAUUCUACGUGAGUGUGAUGUAAUCUUAGCAUCCAGUAAAUAAAGUCCCAUAUCAGCUAAAAUGCAGCGUGACAAAGUCGUUAAAGUGCAUCAACACAGUGGAUUUAAUAGAGUUUUAAAGAACAAUCUCUGAGUGAAGUGAGGUUAGUUUUUUGUCUCACUGCAGAUAUAAAAACUAACUCUGCAUCAGUCAGAAGCAGCUAAGCUCACCUUCUGUAUGAGUGUGAGUGUCGGAAAGCUGAUCAAAUCAGCUGUAAAAUAAUUAAAACAAAAGUAAAAAUGCUCCUUUGCUUUUUAGAGUCCACAUCCAGAAGGCUGGAGCCGUGUUUCACUGACAGGCUGUCAGACUAACGCCCUGAUGAGCUCAGCUGGGACAAACUGGUCUGAUGUUUAGAACGCUCAGAUGUUGGAGCUCACGUCACCUACUGAGGAAGGAGACCCACCAGUAAAGAGACGGUCUGGACCAGACCAAAAAUAUGGCGAUGACAUCAUGGAACUGGCCUUUGGAAAAGUUUUCCCUGAACCAACUCCGUUUCUAGAUGAGGACCAGUUUGAAGCCCACAUACUGCCCCUCCCUCAUCAUCAGGAAACAUCAAUCCGUAUCCUGAGGACAACAGAAGACGGCAGGAGGACAGGAACUCUGAGACCUACCACCAGCACCGGGACACAAAGCACCUGUGUGCACAACGCCUGCUUAACUACUACAGCCUGUUUAUUAUAUUGUUCUACUUAUUUGCUGUGAGGUUAAUACUUAGAAAAUUUGUAUAUUAAUGUAAACAAUAAAAAAAACACUGAUU